GAUGAACGCUAGCGGCAGGCCUAAUACAUGCAAGUCGAGGGGUAUGGGUUGCUUGCAACCCAGAGACCGGCGCACGGGUGCGUAACGCGUAUGCAAUCUACCUUAAUCAGGGGGAUAGCCCGGAGAAAUCCGGAUUAACACCGCAUAACAUUGAGUUGUGGCAUCACAGUUCGAUCAAAUAUUUAUAGGAUUAAGAUGAGCAUGCGUGACAUUAGUUAGUUGGUGAGGUAACGGCUCACCAAGACCACGAUGUCUAGGGGAUCUGAGAGGAUGACCCCCCACACUGGUACUGAGACACGGACCAGACUCCUACGGGAGGCAGCAGUAAGGAAUAUUGGUCAAUGGGCGCAAGCCUGAACCAGCCAUGCCGCGUGCAGGAAGACGGCCCUAUGGGUUGUAAACUGCUUUUGUACCGGAAUAAACCUUCUCUUGCGAGAGAAGCUGAACGUACGGUAAGAAUAAGGAUCGGCUAACUCCGUG
rnacentral:rRNA from 1 species